UUGCUUGCUCGGCAGCAUAUAUACUAAAUUUAGAACAAUUCAGAGAACCUCAACAUGAUACCUGUGAAUAUGGUACUCAAAUUCAUGAAGAUUUCCAUAUUUUA